rnacentral:miRNA from 1 species
UGAGUCUCAUAUCUGGUGAAUGU